rnacentral:tRNA from 1 species
AGAAAAGUAUUUAAAAGUCUAUAAAAUCUAAUUUGCAAUUAGAAGUUGUAUUUACCUUUUCU